CCAGGCCUCACGCGGCACGUCGCAGCCCCCUGCAGGUUGGACGCUGCCCCCAGGGCUUCCGUCGUCUCCACCUGGCACGUGGGGCUCACCUGUGCGCUUCCUGGGGGUGGUCAUGAGCGGGGCCCGGGAGCCCCCCACGGCUGGCGUCUGUAGCGCGUCCCCUGCGGGACUUCCCAGGCUGCUCCCCCUUUCUGGGCAGAAGCCGUUGGGAAACCGUGGGGGGCGGGGUCUCCCUGCUGGGAGAGCACGGGUCUCGUGUGGUUGCUGUGGGCACACAGGUCAUAAGCCACAGAAAGCAUUUCAGAGAGGUCGACAUCUGCUCCGGGGACCCAGGCCCAGUGGGGUGUGCAGGCUGGGGGCUGGGGUGCAUGGUGUGCUCCCGCCCUCUCGCUGCAGGACUUGGAGCUUGGACCUUCGCACCCUUGGCCGUGACCACCCGCGACUCCACCGCCUGCCCCGUCCCAGCUGGGGGCGCCCGGCAGGGAGGCGGGUCUGGACAUGGCUGUCCUCGUCCCCUCCAGGGCGGCUGAGGGUCCCCAGGGGAGGGGGCUCGGCCCAGGCCUGGCCUUUCCGUUUCCCUGAUAAGAGACUGCACGCUGUGGGGGUGGCCGUGCGCCAGCCGACGGCAGGGGCCUGUCUGGAGGAGGGUGUGGGUGCACCGGCUGUGGGCGUCCUCCUCGUGCGGCCGAUGUCCCCAGGGCGCCGGAGCCUGUGGAACCCAGAUAGGAGGGUCCUCCUCCUUCACCCACACCCGGACCCCGGACAGCUGCCUGGAGCCCCCUCCCGCCAUUGCCCGUCGUGCCCAGGGCCCACCCUUCCAGGUCCUCCUCCAGGACAAGCAGACGGAAGAUUCCAGGAGGAAGGAUAGAGACGGAGGAGGUGGAGGGGGUGACGGGUGCCACAGGCCAUCGGGAAACGGCACUGCACCACCAGGUCCCAGCACACAGCCCUCAGCUCUCCCGGCCCGGACCCGGAGCAAAGGCGGAGGCAGUGACUCCGUCCCACCUUCUUCUUCAUCUUGCUUCUGGUGAUCAGGCCCCCGCUGAGGGCAGCUGAGGUUCACCGGGGCCGGAACCCUCCGGUUUCACCGCCAGGACCUGAGGGCGCUGGGGUCCAGACGCCUGGCACUGUGUGACUCCAGGCCUGGGGUUUCGUUGGACUUUUUGAAAAAGGAAAGGAAUACAUGUUCACGAUAAGAAUUUCAAAUCGUGUAAAGGGACCGUGAAAACAUGCCUCCGGCCCCUCUGCAGUUCCUGCUGUGAGUCCUCCCAUCCUCCAGGAAAUUUUCCCCGUAGUCCACUCUCAGGCUUCUGAAUAUUUUAUACAAAUGAGACCUACUCUGCACUCAAUUUUAGAAAUUAAUGCGUCUUGGGACGCCCGGGUGGCUCAGUGGUCGAGCAUCUGCCUUCAGCCCAGGCAGAGACACAGGCAGAGGGAGAAGCAGGCUCCAUGCAGGGAGCCCGGCGUGGGACUCGAUCCCAGGACCCCGGGGUCAUGCCCUGGGCUGAAGGUGGCGCUAACCUGCUGAGCCUCCUGGGUGCCCUAAAAAGAUAGUAUCUUGGUGGUUAUUUGGGUUUGCUCUUCCUUUACCGUGAGUAAGGCUGUGUCGGGCCGGGCCGCGUGGCUGAGGUUCCCGUUCGCUGGGCUCGAGCCGUGUGACGGGGAAACUGCGGCAUCUCCCCGGAUCCCAGUUUCUUCGCCUGUGAGCAGCAGUGGUUGGCAUUCAGGAUUUAAUAGCAUUGGACAUGGAAAUCGCUCGCCAGGUUCCUGGCUCAAAGCAAGGCUAAGUAAAUGUUUCCUAUUAUUGUUCCAUAUAUUUACUGACAAUUUGAGUCUGUUUGUGAUUUGCCUGUGCGUGUCUAUUUUCCAUUUUUAUUGGAUUCUUAUUUCCUUAUUAACUUGCUAGAGCUCUUGGUGUAUUAAUAAGAUGCUCCUUUUACAUAUAUUACCAGUGUCUCUUGACAUUUUAGUGAAUUUUACUUGUUAGAGCGAUUUUAGGUUCGGAGCUACAUUGAGAGGGAGGUACAGAGAUUUAUCCCACAGUUUUAUUAAUUAAUUAUUAUUUUAAGAAAUAUUUAUAUUAAUUAAUUAUUAUUUUAAGAAAUAUUUAUUUGAGAGAGAGGGGGAGAGCAGAACCAGGGGUGAGGGGUGGAGGAGCGGGGAGGGGUAGAGGGAGAUGGGCAAGCACACUCCCUGCUGAGCGGGGAGCCCGACGCAGGACUCAAUCCCAGCGCCCCGACAUCGUGACCCGAGCUGAAGGCAGAUGCUCACCGCACGGAGCCCGGCGCCUGAGAGUUCCCGCGUUAUCAGUGGAUCUGAAGAGUCCGUGGGUCCCUCCAGCCGCUUGGGCAGUAAACACUCCGGAGUGUCAAAGCCCCUGCCUUUUUCGCUCAGUGGCCUCUGUUGAAGGUCCAAGGCGCAGGUCACCUCGGCUGCGGCGCCCCGGAGCGCUGCCUGGCUGGGGGGCAGCGCGGGCCCGGGAGGGGGCGGGGGGCCAUUGGGCUGCGGGGCCUCCCACCUUGGGCUCUGUGGCCCCCCAGGGCACGGAGCUGCCCGGCCACGGCCCACACAGCGCAGAAGGAUGGGGGUCUGUGGAGGCCCUCGCAGCCUGGGAGAGGGAGAGAGGCAGGGAGGGGGGGGCUCGCAGGGAGGGGGUCGGGCGAUGAGGAGGAGGAGGAGGAGGAUGUAGGCUGACCCAGCCGUCCUGCUCUCCCUGUUUGAGCCUCCCAGACUCACACUCAGAGGCACCCCCCACCCGGGAUCGGGGCAAAGGGAACUGCGAGCCACCGUGGGGGACGGAGCUCGAGGGCGAGACUGAACGAGGGAGGGAUGCGAGGCAGACCCUGGGAGAUGGCGGGGUCCCCCAGGGGCCCCUGUCACCCCCGCCACGGCCGGGUGGUCUAAACAACAGGACGCACGCGACAGGGCCUGGCGGUGACAGGUGCAGGCGCCAGCGGUGGGCUCCCCUGGGCCGUGGGCCACGGCUCGUCCCCCCGCCUGCGACUCCCAGCUCCUCGUGGGUGAGGAAGCCCAGCGCCCCUGACUGGCCUUCCCGCGUCUUCUCUGCCAAGAGCUUGUCUCCACGUGAGGCUGUGAUCUGAGGCAUUGGGACUCGAACUGCGACAGAAGAAUCUGGGGGACACCUGUCGCACCGUGGGAAGUCAGAGACUCCCAGGGUGGGGGCAGAGCUGGGGUUGUGGGCGGGCCGCAGGGGGGCGACCGUGACCCGGAGCAGGACGCAGCCCGCAGCUCGGCCAGCUCCUUCUCCUGGCAGCUGCCUUCUGUCACCCGGUUUCUCCCCCGGGGUCGUCCUGCCUGCACCCCGCACCCCAGCCCAGCACCCUCCCCGGGCCUGUGUCAUUG
rnacentral:lncRNA from 1 species